rnacentral:rRNA from 1 species
CAGUCGCCGCGGUAAUACGUAGGUCCCGAGCGCUGUCCGGAUUUAUUGGGCGUAAGGGAGCGCAGGCGGUUUAGUAAGUCUGAAGUUAAAGGCAUUGGCUCAACCAAUGUAUGCUUUGGAAACUGUUAAACUUGAGUGCAGGAGAGAAAAGUGGAAUUCCUAGUGUAGCGGUGAAAUGCGUAGAGAUUAGGAGGAACACCAGUGGCGAAGGCGGCUUUUUGGCCUGUAACUGACACUGAGGCGCGAAAGCGUGGGGAGCAAACAGGAUUAGAUACCCGAGUAGUCCCUGUCUCUUAUACAC